rnacentral:rRNA from 1 species
GACGAACGUUGGCGGCGUGCUUAAUACAUGCAAGUCAACUGAAGCAGUGGUAGCAAUAUCGCUGUGGAGGUGGCGCACGGGUGAGUAACACGUAGGUAAUCUGCCUUCAGGUCUGGCAUAACUCCGGGAAACCGGGGCUAAUAGCAGAUGAUGCAGCGGCUCGACAUCGAGACAGUUGUUAAAGCUAUGGCGCCUGAAGAUGAGCCUGCGUCUGAUUAGCUAGUUGGCGGGGUAACGGCCCACCAAGGCAACGAUCAGUAGCUGGUCUGAGAGGAUGAUCAGCCACACUGGAACUGAGACACGGUCCAGACUACUACGGGAGGCAGCAGUAAGGAAUAUUGCUCAAUGGGAGAAAUCCUGAAGCAGCAACGCCGCGUGAGGGACGAAGGGCUUUUGCUUGUAAACCUCUGUAGUGAGAGAAAAAAAUCCCAAUCUUUGGGACAUGAUGGUAUCUCAAAAGUAAGCCCCGGCUAACUACGUG